UACAGAGGUCUCAAGCGUUGUUCGGAUUCAUUGGGCGUAAAGGGUGCGUAGGUGGCGAGGUAAGUCAGGUGUGAAAUCUCGGGGCUCAACCCCGAAACUGCACUUGAUACUGCCUUGCUCGAGUACUGGAGAGGAGAUUGGAAAUUUACGGUGUAGCAGUGAAAUGCGUAGAUAUCGUAAGGAAGACCAGUGGCGAAGGCGAAUCUCUGGACAGUUACUGACAGCUGAGGC
rnacentral:rRNA from 1 species